rnacentral:lncRNA from 1 species
AUUUCAUCUGUGAUUAAAUCAUCUACAAUGUCUUCCUCAGCCCUGUCAUCAUAAAUUUAACCAUUGCAAUGCUGCUUAACAUCAACAUAAAUACAUCUUAGGUAUGCAUCCUCUCACUCAAAAGAAUUCUCAAAUAAUAUUUUUAUUAAGGAAAAUUUAAAUGAUGGUGGCAGCUUAGAAGUGACUAAAGUAGUUAGAAGAAUGAAGCUCAAGAAAUCAAAAUUGUCAAUAAUUCUUUGUCCAACAAUAAUAUUAAUCGAUAAUAAGCAACAGAUGUAAAACAAGGCAUAACAAGGUAUUAUAUGCUAACAAACAAUAAGAAUAAAACAAGUCAUGGCUAAUUUAAAGGUCUCUGAAGCACACCAUUUGUUUUUUAAUGCAUCAGGGUAAUUAUGGUAACUUUUGAAUAUGUCCACAAAUUCUUUGAUAUUUCCCUUUUCAGAGGUAAAGCCUAAUUCCCCUCCCCAUGAGGAUGUGACUCGCUUCUAACAGAAUAUGGCAGAAGUAAAGAUAUGUGACUUUGAGACUAUGUCAUGAAGGACAUUGUGGCUUCUGCCUAUCUUUCUUCUGGAUCACACCCCAGGGGAGAAAGCCAACCUCCAUGUUGUGAGGACACUCAAGCAGCCCUUCGUGGAGGUCCGCGUGGUGAGGAAUUGAGGCCUCCUGCUGAUGGCUCAUGCUAACUUGCUAGCCGUGGGAGUCAGCUACCUUGGAAGCAAUCCUUCAUCCCCAGUCAAGCACUCAGAUGACCGCAGCUCUGGCCAACAUCUUGACUGCAACCUGUGAACGACCCUGAGCAGAACUGUCCAGUUAAGCCACUCCUGGCUCACAGGAAUGGGGGAGAUAAUAAACAUUUAUCGUUUCAAGCUGUUAAGUUUGGGGGUAUGUUAUGCAGCAAGAGAUAACAAAUGUAGAAUAUUUCACUCAUUUCUACAUGAAGAUUUCUUUUCUUUUUUUUUUUUUUGAGACAGAGUCUCUCUCUGUCACCCAGGCUGGAGUGCAGUGGCGCGAUCUCAGCUCACUGCAACCUCCACCUCCCGGGUUCAUGCCAUUCUCCUGCCUCAGCCUCCCAAGUAGCUGGGACUACAGGUGCCCACCACCACGCCUAGCUAAUUUUUUUGCAUUUUUUUAGUAGAGACAGGGUUUCACCAUGUUAUCCAGGAUGGUCUCGAUCUCCUGACCUCAUGAUGCGCCCACCUCGGCCUCCCAAAGUGCUGGGAUUACACGUGUGAGCCACUGCGCCCGGCCCUACAUGAUGAUUUCUAUCACAUAAAUAUACAAUACUAUAUUUAUCAAGCACUAUAUGUUAAUAGAUUCAUUAUCAAUCCUAUCCCGUUAGAAUGUAAGCUGCAUGAAAGAAGAAAGUUUGUUUUGUUCAUUGCCAU